GAUGAACGCUGGUGGCGUGCCUAAUACAUGCAAGUCGAGCGAACGGACGAGAAGCUUGCUUCUCUGAUGUUAGCGGCGGACGGGUGAGUAACACGUGGAUAACCUACCUAUAAGACUGGGAUAACUUCGGGAAACCGGAGCUAAUACCGGAUAAUAUUUUGAACCGCAUGGUUCAAUAGUGAAAGACGGUCUUGCUGUCACUUAUAGAUGGAUCCGCGCUGCAUUAGCUAGUUGGUAAGGUAACGGCUUACCAAGGCAACGAUGCAUAGCCGACCUGAGAGGGUGAUCGGCCACACUGGAACUGAGACACGGUCCAGACUCCUACGGGAGGCAGCAGUAGGGAAUCUUCCGCAAUGGGCGAAAGCCUGACGGAGCAACGCCGCGUGAGUGAUGAAGGUCUUCGGAUCGUAAAACUCUGUUAUUAGGGAAGAACAUAUGUGUAAGUAACUGUGCACAUCUUGACGGUACCUAAUCAGAAAGCCACGGCUAACUACGUG
rnacentral:rRNA from 1 species